UACCCGCAGCUCAAGUGGUGGUCAUUAUUAUUGGGCCUAAAGCGUCCGUAGCAGGCUUGUUAGAUGCCUGGGUAAAUCGAUGCGCUUAACGCAUCGAAUUCCGGGUAGACCGGCAAGCUCGAGACCGGGAGAGGCGUGAGCUACUCGAGGGGUAGGGGUAAAAUCCUGUAAUCCUUCGGGGAGGACCAGUGGCGAAGGCGUCACGCUAGACCGGCUCUGACUGUGAGGGACGAAGCCCUGGGGCGCAAACCGG
rnacentral:rRNA from 1 species